rnacentral:rRNA from 1 species
ACGAACGCUGGCGGCGUGCUUAACCCCUGCCAGUCGAACGGAAAGGCCCUGCUUUUGUGGGGUGCUCGAGUGGCGAACGGGUGAGUAACACGUGAGUAACCUGCCCUUGACUUUGGGAUAACUUCAGGAAACUGGGGCUAAUACCGGAUAGGAGCUCCUGCUGCAUGGUGGGGGUUGGAAAGUUUCGGCGGUUGGGGAUGGACUCGCGGCUUAUCAGCUUGUUGGUGGGGUAGUGGCUUACCAAGGCUUUGACGGGUAGCCGGCCUGAGAGGGUGACCGGCCACAUUGGGACUGAGAUACGGCCCAGACUCCUACGGGAGGCAGCAGUGGGGAAUAUUGCACAAUGGGCGGAAGCCUGAUGCAGCAACGCCGCGUGCGGGAUGACGGCCUUCGGGUUGUAAACCGCUUUCGCCUGUGACGAAGCAUGAGUGACGGUAAUGGGUAAAGAAGCACCGGCUAACUACGUG